GGCCAAGAGAAAGAAAGAGGGUCUUCCUUCUUGAAGCUUGGGUUUUAGAGAGGAAAGGUUUCUCUUGGAGGCGUGCAAAGAAAGAAAAAAAAGGGUUUUCUUCUAUGGUGCGAAAAGGAAGAAAGAAGGAAGAGUUCCUUCUUGAAUUCAGAAUUUUUAAGGAAGAGAAAAGGUUUCUCUCAUGUAUGGAAAAAAAGAAAAAAAAAGAAAGAGUUCUUCACUAGAUCUCUAGUGU
rnacentral:lncRNA from 1 species